UUAUUUUCGUUACAAAGAUGACCAAAAAACUUAUAUAAACACGUCUUGAAUCCCUCCAAAAGGAAAAAAAAAAUCAUUGAAGCGGAAGAGAAAACAGAAUGGAAAAAAUAACAAUCAUUUUCGUAGUUCUUAUUCUAAUUUCUUCAUGCAUUAUGAAGAGUGAAGGUGGAUAUUAUCAAUGCAACAAACCUGAAGACUGUGAUCCUCGUGGUUGCAGAGUAUCUACACAUGCAGUAUGUAAAAAUCACAGGUGUACUUGUGGCCAGGGUGCUCUUAUUGGCGACAUAUGUACAGAAGGCCGUGACUGUGUUCCUAAUGGAUGCCCACCAAAUAAUCACGUUAUUUGCAAUCUUUAUGCUGGUGAUUCUAUGGGCGUUUGCAUUUGUAUCCCAAAUUGAUUAAUUUUCCUGCACCUAAUUAUUGGAAUGGUUUUAAAUG